rnacentral:tRNA from 1 species
GGAGAGUUGGUAGAAUUGGUAAAUGCGCGGGCCUGGAAAGCCUGCGGGAAUCAAAAACCCACGAGGGUUCGAACCCCUCACUCUCCUCCA